rnacentral:rRNA from 1 species
CCUACGGGUGGCUGCAGUGAGGAAUAUUGGUCAAUGGCCGGAAGGCUGAACCAGCCAAGCCGCGUGAAGGACGAAGGUGCCAAGCAUUGUAAACUUCUUUUGUCAAGGGACAAAAUCAGGCUCGAGAGCCUGACCGAGGGUACUUGAAGAAAAAGCAUCGGCUAACUCCGUGCCAGCAGCCCCGGUAAUACGGAGGAUGCGAGCGUUAUCCGGAUUUAUGGGGUUUAAAGGGUGCGUAGGCGGGCUGUUAAGUCAGCGGUAAAAGCCCGGGGCUCAACCCGGGCGGGCCGUUGAAACUGGCUGUCUUGAGAUGUGUAGAGGGAUGCGGAAUGCGAAGUGUAGCGGUGAAAUGCUUAGAUAUCGCGCAGAAUGCCGAUUGCGAAGGCAGCAUACUGGCGGCGAUCUGACGCUGAGGCACGAAAGCGUGGGGAGCGAACAGGAUUAGAUACCCCUGUAGUC